GCGCCCGUAGUCUAACCGGAUAAAACAGGGGCCUCCGACGCCCCCGUUGCGAGUUCGAGCCCCGCCGGGCGUACCA
rnacentral:tRNA from 1 species